rnacentral:rRNA from 1 species
AGAGUUUGAUCCUGGCUCAGGACGAACGCUGGCGGCGUGCCUAACACACGCAAGUCGAACGGAAAACAUAGCAAUAUGUUUUUAGUGGCGAACGGGUGAGUAACGCGUAGACAACCAACCUUUUUGUGGGGGACAACACUUCGAAAGGAGUGCUAAUACCGCAUACGCUCUUGAUGCCGCCUGGUGUUAAGAGGAAAGGAGCUUUACGGCUUCGCAAAAAGACGGGUCUGCGUCUGAUUAGCUAGUUGGAGGGGUAACGGCCCACCAAGGCGACGAUCAGUAGCCGGUCUGAGAGGAUGGACGGCCACACUGGGACUGAGACACGGCCCAGACUCCUACGGGAGGCAGCAGUGGGGAAUCUUCCGCAAUGGACGAAAGUCUGACGGAGCGACGCCGCGUGAGUGAUGAAGGCCC